UGGAGGCAGCAGUGGGGAAUUUUGGACAAUGGGCGCAAGCCUGAUCCAGCAAUGCCGCGUGCAGGAAGAAGGCCUUCGGGUUGUAAACUGCUUUUGUCAGGGAAGAAAUCUUCUGGGCUAAUACCCCGGGAGGAUGACGGUACCUGAAGAAUAAGCACCGGCUAACUACGUGCCAGCAGCCGCGGUAAUACGUAGGGUGCGAGCGUUAAUCGGAAUUACUGGGCGUAAAGCGUGCGCAGGCGGCUUUGCAAGACAGAUGUGAAAUCCCCGGGCUCAACCUGGGAACUGCAUUUGUGACUGCAAGGCUAGAGUACGGCAGAGGGGGAUGGAAUUCCGCGUGUAGCAGUGAAAUGCGUAGAUAUGCGGAGGAACACCAAUGGCGAAGGCAAUCCCCUGGGCCUGUACUGACGCUCAUGCACGAAAGCGUGGGGAGCAAACAGGAUUAGAUACCCCGGUAGU
rnacentral:rRNA from 1 species